rnacentral:rRNA from 1 species
UACGUAGGGGCAAGCGUUGUCCGGAUUCAUUGGGCGUAAAGAGCGUGUAGGCGGCCAGGUAGGUCGGUUGUGAAACUGGAGGCUCAACCUUCAGAGGUCGACCGAAACCAUCUGGCUAGAGUCCGGGAGAGGAGAGUGGAAUUCCUGGUGUAGCGGUGAAUGCGCAGAUAUCAGGAAGAACACCCGUGGCGAAAGCGGCUCUCUGGAACGGUACUGACGCUGAAGACGCGAAAGCGUGGGAGCAAACAG